GACGAACCGAGCGAACGUUGUUCGGAAUCACUGGGCUUAAAGGGCGCGUAGGCGGGCAUCAUAGUCUGUGGUGAAAUCCGGCAGCUUAACUGUCGAAUUGCCAUGGAUACUGGGUGUCUCGAGGGAGGCAGGGGUGCGCGGAACUAAUGGUGGAGCGGUGAAAUGCGUUGAUAUCAGGAGGAACACCAAUUGCGAAGGCAGCUCGCUGGGACGUAACUGACGCUGAGACGCGAAAGCGUGGGGAGCAAACAGG
rnacentral:rRNA from 1 species